AUUAAAAUAACUAAGGAAACACGACAUAAAUGCACAAGAACAAGCCAACUAAGUCGCAUAAAUAUGCUCUUAUCAGGAACUAGUACAGCCCUCAAACCCAUGCAACAAACCUAAAGUGUGUGCAGCCUCAUCAUCAUGCCUUGUGCUUAUGAGGAAGCAAAGGGAAGGUGACCGCCCAAUGUUCCAUAUUUGGUGCAUAUACCAUACAAUGUCAAUCUGGGAUCAGGAUCCUCUCCUGAGCAGAUGGAGAUGAUCCUCCUGACCAGGCCCAUCAGGCCGUUCAAUUUGAAUCCAACGGCUAUAAUUAUUAUAACUUUUAGAGGGGCCCCUUGUUUGUAGCCGUUGGAUAAAAAUUGAACGGCCCGAUGGGCCUGAUGAGGAGGAUCCUGAUUCAUCAAUCUGUACUCUAUUUAAAAUGUUGUGAUGUGAUGAUUUCCACAAUAUCUAGCUAGGUCAUUUAGGCAGGUCAUUUAGGCAGACUUAAAAGUUAAUUAAAUAAAUGGUGCGAGAGUCUUUUUGUUAUACGUCAAUUGUGUCUCUUGCACCAUAUUUUGUUAAAGUCCGUUUAGUGAGUUUGAUGAGAUUCAGCCUUAGGAAUGUGAUUGAAUUGACAGUCAUGUAAGACAUGACUUAUAACGCAUGUAUAAUGACAAGUUAGAUAUCUGUUCUAUUGUAGAUUCAUAACCCAUCAUGUCAAGUAAUGUCCAUCUCGCAUUUUGUCACAACAAACAACGUACUAGACUCAAGUUCAUUUUAAUUAAUCACAACAUGUUCCAACCAGCUACCAAACAAGACCCUUAGGGAUUGAGGAAGGCUGUGGGGGUUAGGAAAUGAUUUGGAGGUAUACAAAUUUACUUAAGAGCACCAUAACCAUAGCUUCCAUCACACGUUACCAGAUGAUAAAACAUGCAUUUUACAAGAGCAUCUUUAUUGUGAAUGUAAAUGAGUAUCUAUAUAUCUUCAAUUUUAACACUCUUUCUUAUUGUUAUACUUUAAUUUUUUAUUAGAGAAAAAAAAUAUUUAUAUUUUGGUUUCUUAAAAAAUUCUCUCAUGUCACAAAUUUAUCAUGUGAUUGAUAAUUGCUCAUCAAAUAAAUAGUACAUUUUUAUUAAGGUGUUGUAUCUCAUCCAAUGUCUUAUCUCCCACUCACUUUAAGGAAUUGUUUUAGGUUUUUAUCACAAAUGGUCCCUGAAAUUGACCAUCACCAUCAAGAUGGUCCCUGAAAUUGAAAAUCAAUCAAUGUAGUCCCUGAAAAUAGGUGUCACAAAUCAAUGUGGUCAUUCUGUCACAAUUAUGCUAAAAAUUAUGUUAAGUGCUGAUGUGACACAUAAAUGAGCCCCAUAAGUCAUUUUUUCUCACAAUGAUCCUUAAAAUUGACCCGUGACAUCAAAAUUGUCCCUGAAAUUGACACGCGACAUCAAAAUGGUCCCUAAAAUUGAAAAUUGAUCAAUGUAGUCACGCAAGUAUGUGUCUCCAAUCAAUUUUGUCAUUCCGUCAUAAUUUUGUCAAAAUUUUUGUUAUGUGCUAAUGUAACACAUAAAUGGGUCACACAAGUUUAAUUAAAUUUAAAAAAAUUACAAAUAGGCUUACUAAUUUAUUAGUAAUAAAAAAAUUGUCACCCCAAAAACCCAAUCAUGUAAUCACUUAUGAUCCCAGUCCACAUCUCUCUACCUCAUUUGCUCUCUAUUCUCUAAAAAAAAUCAUAAUACACCCAUCUUUACACACUUCAACACCCCUUACCAAAUUGCACCUGGAUCGAGAUCACCUGUGGUGACGACUUGGCCGAUUGGCAAUGACUUCUGAGAUAUCACCGUUAACAUUUAGGCGAUCAACAUCCUCACAACCUUAAUCUUAGAGAGCUUGUUUGGUGCUUCCCUGGUGGUUUGGUGAUGCAAAGAAUGACGAUUUCUGCCUUGAGAUAAUGAGGUUAUAAUCGAGGUGCGUCUAUUGUUGGUUGAAAACUAUUUCCAUACCCCCUCUUAGGCCUUAGAUAAGCCUAUUGCCCUUGAGAAUUUAUGGAGGGAUCUUUCUUCAGAGUAAACUCUACUAUAAGAAGAAAAAAAUUCAUUGUGCAAAAAGGUAUUUAGACAACCUUUUUAAUUAAUUAUUAAACCCACAUCAACACAUAACAAAUGUUUUUUUACAGAAUUGUGGUGGAAUGAUCAUAUUAAUGUGCGACACCUACUUUCAAGGACUACAUUGAUCAAUUUUCAAUUUCAGAGACCAUCUUGAUAGUGUGGGUCAAUUUUAGGGACCAUCUUGUUGGUGUGGGUCAAUUUCAGGGGCUAUUUGUGAUAAAACUCGUAAAUCUUGUGGGGCCCGUUUAUAUCCACAUCAGCACUUAACUGAAUUUUUAAUUUAAUUGUGACGGAAUGACUACAUUGAUUCGCAACACCUAUUUUCAGGGUCUACAUUGAUUGAUUUUUAAUUUCAGGGGCCAUCUUGAUGGUGAAGGUCAAUUUCGGGGACCAUUUGUGAUAAAAACCCAAAUUAUUUUAGUUAUAAGUUUGCCUAUAUAUAUAAAAUAGGGGUAACUUGAAAUAGGUCCAAUUUUAUGGCCUAACAUUAGGAUUAGUCCAAUUUUUAGUUAUUUUUUAUUUAGGUCCGAUGACUAGGACACCAUGUCAGCACUUUUUGUUGUUAGGUUGACUUUUUUACAUUGUGAUCACCAUUUUACCCUUUUAUAGCUUUUAAACGUUGUCCAUAGAUUUCCCACGUUUUAGAUUUGUAUCAUCAUCAGUUAUCCAUCAUAAAAAGGAGUAAUUCUUCAGUUUUUUUCAUCUUCUGCUUUCCAAUUUCUUGAUAAUAUUUUUUAGCAUUUGAAAUACUUAUCAAUCUAUUUUAAGGAGGCUUUUAAUUACUUAUGUCAGGUUUCUUAUUUAUCGGCAUUACCCAAAUUUCUGUUGAUCUUUUACAAUCUAAGUUACCUCUCAUAUAAGUGUUUUACAAUCUAAACUACCUAUCAUAUAAGUCCUUGUACAAGCUAAACUACCUAUCGUAUUGUAACUACCUAUUGUGGAGCCAAA
rnacentral:lncRNA from 1 species